rnacentral:rRNA from 1 species
CAUGUAGGCGGCUCGUCAAGUCUGAUGUGAAAGCCCCGGGCUCAACCCGGGAAGUGCAUUGGAAACUGGCGAACUUGAGUACGGGAGAGGAAAGUGGAAUUUCGAGUGUAGGGGUGAAAUCCGUAGAUAUUCGAAGGAACACCAGUGGCGAAGGCGGCUUUCUGGACCGAUACUGACGCUGAGAUGCGAAAGCGUGGGGAGCAAACAGGAUUAGAUACCCUGGUAGUCC